UACGUAGGUGGCAAGCGUUGUCCGGAAUUAUUGGGCGUAAAGCGCGCGCAGGCGGCCUUUUAAGUCUGAUGUGAAAGCCCCCGGCUCAACCGGGGAAGGUCAUUGGAAACUGAGAGGCCUGAGUACAGAAGAGGAAAGCGGAAUUCCACGUGUAGCGGUGAAAUGCGUAGAAAUCAGGAGGAAUACCAGUGGCGAAGGCGGCUUUCUGGACUGUCCCUGACGCUGAGGUGCGAAAGCGUGGGUAGCAAACAGG
rnacentral:rRNA from 1 species